GUCUGAGCUCAGAUGGUAGAGCAUGAGACUCUCAAUUUCAAAUCAUGGGUUCAAGCCUGAUGUGGAGCA